rnacentral:rRNA from 1 species
UACGAAGGGGGCUAGCGUUGCUCGGAAUCACUGGGCGUAAAGGGUGCGUAGGUGGUUGGGUAAGUCUGAUGUGAAAUCUCCGAGCUUAACUCGGAAAUGGCAUUGGAUACUAUUCGGCUAGAGGGUUUGAGGGGGGACUGGAAUACUUGGUGUAGCAGUGAAAUGCGUAGAUAUCAAGUGGAACACCAGUGGCGAAGGCGAGUCCCUGGAAAACUCCUGACACUGAGGCACGAAAGCUAGGGGAGCAAACAGG